CGCUGAGGAAGUGUCGCUCAAGACGCUGGCCUAUGAGUUGUGAUUUCUGCCUUUUCCCCUUCCUCCUUGGGCUAAGCCAGACCAGAAAGGGCCCCGUGCGCAACGUGCUUCACAAUCUCUCAGGGAAAGCGGCUAACGUGGCGCUACUCCGCCUCCCCUGUUCCUUACCCUUGGGGCGGCCGCCAUGUUUCCUGAACACAAAAUGGCGACACGUGGUUAGCAUUCGUCGCCAACGAGAAAUUGGGGUCGGCCCGAAAGCUCUAGAAUGCACCCCUCUUCCUCCCCGGGGCCUUCCACCUCCGCGAGUUUUAUGACUUAAAAAAGCCCACAGGCUGGUCUGAAGAGGAAGACAAACAUAAAGAUGAAGUGCUUAAUUCAAGGUCACACAAUGUCGGGGAUGGACCUCCAGAUUUCCUUACUGACCUGCAUUAUCUUGUGGAUACCUGAGUGAAUUCCACACCACCCAUUUUAUAGAUGAAACCACUGAGACAUGGAGCAAUUGACUGAGUAGUCACUGCCCCACCCCUGCCUGGAGCCUCACACAUGACUCGCCUCCUCUCAGUGACCACAGGUUGGUUGAGGGGUUUAACAAGGCUAAGAAGGUGAGUCAGGUU
rnacentral:lncRNA from 10 species